UCCCCCGUGCAGAGACAAUGACCAGC
rnacentral:piRNA from 1 species